rnacentral:lncRNA from 1 species
ACCGAUUAUUUUUUUUGUAUUCCUUUUCAAAAUUAUUGCCGAACACUUGGAGAAGAGAGCACCGGUAAUGAUAAGGAAGAAAGAAUGCCUUCUUCACGUUGAGCUGCUCAGAUUUCAUUCUAAUUAUAAGAUAUUGUCAAGUUCAUUCUUGCGGGUUGGGCAGCCUGUCCCAGUCCUUCAUAGAAGAGGACUCAGGGACCUCCAAGCCAGAUUUGUACCCAGGAGAGAACGUCGCCUGCUCUGGGAUCCACUCUCUCCUGAUACUGCAUUUUUGUCUUUCAAGACUCAGAUCAAGUCCUGCUCAUUCCAUGGAGCCUCCUCUGCUUCUCCUGGCUCUAGGAACUUGGGAAGGAAAACAGUUUCAACAAUGAAUAGGUCACCCAUCAUGACUGACUACAGAUGACUUGCCAUUUCAUUUACAAAGGGGUGUCCUACAAAGUAAAAAAAAAAAGAGAGAGAGACCAUCUCAUCCUAUGUCCUGCAUUCAUGCCAGCUAGCCAACCCCUCACUAAGGUGGUUUCUUCAAACACCCUUCAAAGUCGCUCUUGAAGUUUUUUGGAUUUCAAAGCUUCCAAGUCUUAGAGGUAAAAUGACUGACACGGCAUUUGUUAGUCCACAGUUGGUUAAAGAAAAUCCACCUCUUACUGUCAUUAGCACAUACUAAGUUGGAGACACAAACGUACCCUAGUAGAGAAAUGGGCUAGAGCUUCAUAUAGAUAAUUCACCAAAGAGAUGCAAAGAACCAAAGAAACGUGACAAAGAUGUCUGUCCUUACCAUGAAUCAUACAAAUGCAAAAUAAAAUGAUAUUUUUGCC